ACUAGAUCUAUAUAACAAAAACCGGAAACAAAACCUGAACAUACAUGAGAAAAGGAAACUAAGAAGGAAACCAUCACACCCGGACACUUUCUUCCUUUUAUAAGGGAUUCAAACACAGACAUUCAUUCAGUUAAAAAAAAUCAGAACAAAACCUGGACGCACGAAAGAAAAAAAAACUGAGAAAAAACUUCACGAAACCUGGCCCUUAAAAAAAGAAAACUACACACACGCACCCCACGGGCCCCAGCCAUCUUCCCAUCGCCCUUCCUCCUAAGGAUUCCCCAAUUUCAUCCCCUCUUCAGGGAUGUCUAAAAAAAUCUUCUGAGGAUCCGUCGCCGGCAUGGAACCACCCGUCCAUGCACCUGCGUCUCGGCCACCACACCCUAGCCCUCCGAUGGCGGCGCCUGAUGCUCCUUCCAUUGACUUCUUCCAUGUGGUACUGCCGGCGUCCUGUGGUGGUGGCUCGAGAUGGGGUCGCUGGUGUGGCUCUACCCCUCUGUGCACGCAUGCGCCUACACAGGUGCCGGCGGCGGGCGCUACGCGGUGGCCUUCCUACACCAUGAGUGAGGAGAGUCCAGUCUCAUAGUGCGCGUGCGUCUUCUCGCCAGGGACACACACAUGAACGUGGCGCAAGGCGACAUCUCUUCCCACGUCGCAGUCCAACCAGGCGUUAUCCGACCUUCAUGGCUUUGUUAGCUGCAAGCAGGUCACUCUACAAGUGAAGCUAGAUGGGCUGGGUCGACCUCCUGUGCAGCAUCCUCCUUGCUUGCAACCUGUUCGACAAACGUCCUGUCACCAGACCCUGAUUGCUAGACCAUCAGUAAAGGCUAGAGAGCCACCACAACCACAACACAAGUAGUCUAGGAUCUUGUCGCCGUCGUGUAUUCAACCACGUCCGGCCUCACUGUGCCCAUAUCAACCAACCAAUCCAAGUCAGUGCUCUUCAGUCUUCACCAUCUACGUCCAGAGAAAUAUUUGGACAUGCAUCCUGUGAUUGGACGGUGCGGAGCAGGAGCUACAGCUAUGGGACGGGCAGCUAAAGACGAGAGGCUUCGCGGUCGCACUGCACUUGCUUAAUUGUCCGGGUAAUUUAAUCUCUGUUUAGUUGACCUCUGGUGAGAUAUUCUCUACCACUUCUUAGAUAGCUUUAUUUUUAGGCGGUUCCAACUUCCAACUAAACAAUGUUGGGUUCGAGGCGACUAGGCAUGCAUGCAUGAUCAGUUUAUCUCAAGUUCAUAUACAUGUUGAUGCAUCCCACAUUGCUUGUUCUAGGAGAAGCAAUGAAUAAAGUCAUCCUCAAACUAAAGGGAGCAUCGAGAUAAGUCACCCUGCUGAACUGGAACGUAUGGAGGGGAACCAGAUUAAGUUUUGGUGGUUUGGGUUCCACGUUUUUCAGCUCACGACCUUAUCUCUGUUUAAGCUACAGAAUGCUAGCUAGGCAAUCCUGAUACCAAUAAUAGCGCUCCAAUCUAUUUAUUAGAUGCGUGAACACAGUAUCUUUCCUCCACUUUAAUACUGGAGCAACUAGAUAUGGAUUUAUCUUUUUCUC